AGGUUAAGAACAAUAUCAGCAAAGUUUCGAGCUGAAUCUAAACUUUUGGUGGUAUCCAAGACUAAGGAAUCACUGUAUACCUCAGAACUGGUUUGAAGAGCUAAGAAAAGGAGUACAGUGAAGAAGAAAACAAUGAUGGAGUCUUGCUCUGUGGCCAGGCUGGAGUGAAGUGGUGCAAUCUCAGCUGACUGCAACCUUUGCCUCCCAGGUUCAACCAAUUCUCCCCCCUUAACCUCCCAAGUACCUGGGAUUACAGGCAUGUGCUACCAUGUCCAGCUAAUUUUUGUAUUUUCAGUAGAGAUGAGGUUUCACCAUAUUGGCCAGGAUGGUCUCGAUCUCCUGACCUCAUGAUCUGCCCACCUCAGCCUCCCAAAGUGCUGGAAUUGCAGGCGUGAGCCACCAUGCCAGGCCUAUUAUGCACUUUUUUUAGAAUUUGAAUCACUUUUUAUAUAAUUUGAAUACAAUAUGGAGUAUUUUAUGACUUCUUUCAUGUCACAGGUUCUCAGGGUUCAUCCAUGUUGUAGCAUGCAUCAAUACUUCAUAUUUUUUAUUGCCAAAGAAUAUUUCAUGUGUAUGUUUAUAUACAACAUUUUCUUUAUACAUUCAUUCAUCAGUUGAUGGACAUUUGACUUUUUCCCAUUUGACUAUUAUGAAUAAGGCUGCUAUGAAUAUUCAUGCACAAAUGUUUAUAUGGACAUGUGUCUUUAUUUCUCUUGGGUGUAUAUCUAGGAGUGGAAUUGCCAUAUCAUAUAACAACUCUGUGUUUGACCUUUUAAACAACUAUCAGACUCUUCUCCACGGUAGCUGCAUCACUGACACUCCCACAGCUGAGGUUAUCUCCAGCUCUUAACAUAGUAUCUGGUGAACAGAACAUUCUCAAAACAUAUUUGUAGAAGGCCAGAAGGAAAGGAAGGACAGGGCAAUCAACAUUUACAAGUGAGUGCUGGCUGUGAAAAGUUGAGUUUAGAGAGAAUCCUGAUCAUAGCUUCCCCAGCAUGGGAUAGGGGACAGGCCACAGUGCUGACUCCAGGAAU